GACGAACGCUGGCGGCGUGCUUAACACAUGCAAGUCGAACGGUAAGGCCCUUCGGGGUACACGAGUGGCGAACGGGUGAGUAACCCGUGGGUGAUCUGCCCUGCACUUCGGGAUAAGCCUGGGAAACUGGGUCUAAUACCGGAUAGGACCACUGCCUGCAUGGGUGGUGGUGGAAAGCUUUUGCGGUGUGGGAUGGGCCCGCGGCCUAUCAGCUUGUUGGUGGGGUGAUGACCUACCAAGGCGACGGCGGGUAGCCGGCCUGAGAGGGUGACCGGCCACACGGGGACUGAGAAACGGCACAGACUCCAAUGGGAGGCAGCAGUGGGGAAGAUUGCAAAAUGGGCGCAAGCCUGAUGCAGCGACGCCGCGUGAGGGAUGACGGCCUUCGGGUUGUAAACCUCUUUAAGCACCGACGAAGCGCAAGUGACGGUAGGUGCAGAAGAAGGACCGGCCAACUACGUGCCAGCCGCCGCGGUAA
rnacentral:rRNA from 1 species